UCGGUUUUAGAAAAUUUAAAAUUUUGUAUCCUUCAGAAUCAUUCUUCGUCCUGUGUUUGUUUUAGUACUGGACGGAGAACUGAUUCUGGUUGAUAUAAUUAAUAUGCUACACUUCAGGAUUAGUUCAAAAGAUGAUUUUCAACUGCAUAGCAGAGCCCGGGGCUGAAAUUAAAGGAACUUUUCAUUCUGAAAAGCUUUUGGAAACCAAAUACCCGGAUGUAUAAAUUGUUCAUCGUAUAAUAAUAUGAUUGUUAUUUAUGUUUUUAUUUAGAUACUUUUUUUUUGUUUGUGAGUUUUAUUAUGAUUUUCUUUUUUGUUUUUCCUCUUAUUAUUGGCACCAACAAUGUUGAUCCAAACAAUCCACUCCCCCUCCUAAUUCUGAAGUCAUAAUGAACUUUCAAAAAAAAAACAAACGGCGAGCAAAAACCGUAAAUUGUUUGUCGGAUAAUAAUAUGUUUGUUAUUUAUGUUUUUAUUCAGAUACUUUUUUUUUGUUUGUGAGUUUUAUUAUGACUUUUUUGUUUUGUGUUUCCUCUUAUUUUUGGCACCAACAAUGUCGUUCCAACUUAUGAUCAAAGACGAAGGCAUGGAUGUUGAUGAAUAAUCAUUUCCUAUCGAAUCAAUCUGCUCAUCUCAUUUCAUUUUAUUGUGUUUUUUCGAUUUCAAUUUUCAAACCAGUUAUGCGCCGUCAAAGAGUAAGUACAAUUAAGUACACACUGCAGUGUUUAAAUUUAAUGCUAGACGUAAUAAAAUAUCUCACUAUUUGUUUUUUUUUUACCACAACGUCCAGCUUCCUGGAAUCAGGCCCACGGUGGCCGGCAUGCAGCGGCUCCCAGGCCUGCUAUAAUGCCAGCGGCGAUGACCUUCCAUAUAAUCUACAGGGAAGAAAACAUUCCCCGCGCUAACAGAUUCUACUUACAAUUAAAUAACUUGAUCGAACGCAUGCUUAAUUGCUUAAGCUUAACACGUUUUGAAAUGCGCCUGGCAUAAAAGGGAUGCUUAUGGUAGAGUUUUAGAUGGAUACUCGAAUUCAUUAAAUCAGGCCCUGGCACUAGAGCAUGAUUUCGAGAACCCACCGCAGCCUUAGAAUUAACUAAUAACUAAACUCGAAGCAUCGUUCGCUGCUAAUUAAGCAACGCUAUCCUUCUUAACUCGGGUUGUUAUUAUAACGAGCAAAACGUACUUAUGAUAAUAGGAAUAUUCGACGCAAGUAGUAAGCCCGCCACCUCAGGCCCAUAUUGCAUAGCCUGCCCCUGCAAGUUUUUUUUUAAUCAACAGGGUUAACCGUUAUUCGGUUGUUAGACAAAUGUGUACAAAACGAUGAGCAGCAGUUCCAACAUUUCAACUUAGAAGAAGUAUUAAUGUUAGAAGAAGAAGAAGAAGUAAAAGAAGAAGUAGAACAGAAAAUAAAUACCCUGGUUGAAACAAUUGAUCUGACAAAUACCGAUGAUGAGGAUGAGGAUGUACUAUGAUUCGAUUUCAAUACUUUUUUUUCGUAUUUUAUUAAUUAUAUGUGCUUUUUUUU